rnacentral:misc_RNA from 1 species
GAUGAAGAACGUAGCGAAAUGCGAUAAGUAAUGUGAAUUGCAGAAUUCAGUGAAUCAUCGAAUCUUUGAACGCACAUUGCGCCCGCCAGUAUUCUGGCGGGCAUGCCUGUUCGAGCGUCAUUUCAACCAUCAAGCCCCCGGCUUGUGUUGGGGACAUGCGGCUGCCGCAGGCCCUGAAAACCAGUGGCGGGCUCGCUAGUCACUCCGAGCGUAGUAAUACAUCUCGCUCAGGGCGUGCUGCGGGUUCCGGCCGUUAAAAAGCCUUAUUUACCCAAGGUUGACCUCGGAUCAGGUAGGAAGACCCGCUGAACUUAAGCAUAUCAAUAAGCGGAGGA